rnacentral:rRNA from 1 species
UACGUAGGUGGCAAGCGUUGUCCGGAUUUACUGGGCGUAAAGAGCGCGCAGGCGGUCGUUCAAGUCGCGUGUGAAAGCCCCCGGCUCAACUGGGGAGGGUCACGCGAUACUGAUCGACUCGAAGGCAGGAGAGGGUAGCGGAAUUCCCGGUGGUAGUGGUGAAAUGCGUAGAUAUCGGGAGGAACACCAGUGGCGAAGGCGACUACCUGGCCUGUUCUUGACGCUGAGGCGCGAAAGCUAGGGAGCAAACGGG